UUAUUGCCAAUAGUGGCGUUUUCGCCUGU
rnacentral:sRNA from 1 species